GACGGAGGAUGCCAGUGUUAUCCGGAAUCACUGGGCGUAAAGCGUCUGUAGGUGGUUUAAAAAGUCCACUGUUAAAAAUUGAAGCUUAACUUCAAAGAUGCCGUGGAAACUUUUAAACUUGAGUAUGGUAGGGGUAGAGGGAAUUUCCAGUGGAGCGGUGAAAUGCGUAGAUAUUGGAAAGACCACCAAUGGCGAAGGCACUCUACUGGGCCAUUACUGACACUGAGAGACGAAAGCUAGGGGAGCAAAUGGG
rnacentral:rRNA from 1 species